GACAGAGGGGGCAAGCGUUGCUCGGAAUUACUGGGCGUAAAGGGCGCGUAGGCGGGAUGGCAAGUCGGUCGUGAAAUCCCUCGGCUCAACCGAGGAACGUCGAUCGAUACUGCUGUUCUUGAGGAUUGCAGAGGAGACUGGAAUUCCCGGUGUAGCGGUGAAAUGGUGUAGAGAUCGGGAGGAACGACCGGUGGCGAAGGCGGGUCUCUGGGGCAAUU
rnacentral:rRNA from 1 species